AGCGUACACGGUGGAUGCCCUGGCAGUCAGAGGCGAUGAAGGACGUGCUAAUCUGCGAAAAGCGUCGGUAAGGUGAUAUGAACCGUUAUAACCGGCGAUGUCCGAAUGGGGAAACCCAGUGCAAUUCGUUGCACUAUCGUUAACUGAAUACAUAGGUUAACGAGGCGAACCGGGGGAACUGAAACAUCUAAGUACCCCGAGGAAAAGAAAUCAACCGAGAUUCCCCCAGUAGCGGCGAGCGAACGGGGAGCAGCCCAGAGUCUGAAUCAGCUUGUGUGUUAGUGGAACGGUCUGGAAAGUCCGACGGUACAGGGUGAUAGUCCCGUACACCAAAAUGCACAGGCUGUGAACUCGAAGAGUAGGGCGGGACACGUGGUAUCCUGUCUGAAUAUGGGGGGACCAUCCUCCAAGGCUAAAUACUCCUGACUGACCGAUAGUGAACCAGUACCGUGAGGGAAAGGCGAAAAGAACCCCGGCGAGGGGAGUGAAAAAGAACCUGAAACCGUGUACGUACAAGCAGUGGGAGCACCUUCGGGUGUGACUGCGUACCUUUUGUAUAAUGGGUCAGCGACUUAUAUUCUGUAGCAAGGUUAACCGUAUAGGGGAGCCGCAGGGAAACCGAGUCUUAACUGGGCGUUAAGUUGCAGGGUAUAGACCCGAAACCCGGUGAUCUAGCCAUGGGCAGGUUGAAGGUUGGGUAACACUAACUGGAGGACCGAACCGACUAAUGUUGAAAAAUUAGCGGAUGACUUGUGGCUGGGGGUGAAAGGCCAAUCAAACCGGGAGAUAGCUGGUUCUCCCCGAAAGCUAUUUAGGUAGCGCCUCGUGAAUUCAUCUUCGGGGGUAGAGCACUGUUUCGGCUAGGGGGUCAUCCCGACUUACCAACCCGAUGCAAACUACGAAUACCGAAGAAUGUUAUCACGGGAGACACACGGCGGGUGCUAACGUCCGUCGUGAAGAGGGAAACAACCCAGACCGCCAGCUAAGGUCCCAAAGUCAUGGUUAAGUGGGAAACGAUGUGGGAAGGCACAGACAGCCAGGAUGUUGGCUUAGAAGCAGCCAUCAUUUAAAGAAAGCGUAAUAGCUCACUGGUCGAGUCGGCCUGCGCGGAAGAUGUAACGGGGCUAAACCAUGCACCGAAGCUGCGGCAGCGACACUAUGUGUUGUUGGGUAGGGGAGCGUUCUGUAAGCCUGCGAAGGUGUGCUGUGAGGCAUGCUGGAGGUAUCAGAAGUGCGAAUGCUGACAUAAGUAACGAUAAAGCGGGUGAAAAGCCCGCUCGCCGGAAGACCAAGGGUUCCUGUCCAACGUUAAUCGGGGCAGGGUGAGUCGACCCCUAAGGCGAGGCCGAAAGGCGUAGUCGAUGGGAAACAGGUUAAUAUUCCUGUACUUGGUGUUACUGCGAAGGGGGGACGGAGAAGGCUAUGUUAGCCGGGCGACGGUUGUCCCGGUUUAAGCAUGUAGGCUGGUUGUCCAGGCAAAUCCGGAUAAUCAAGGCUGAGGUGUGAUGACGAGGCACUACGGUGCUGAAGUAACAAAUGCCCUGCUUCCAGGAAAAGCCUCUAAGCAUCAGGUAACAUCAAAUCGUACCCCAAACCGACACAGGUGGUCAGGUAGAGAAUACCAAGGCGCUUGAGAGAACUCGGGUGAAGGAACUAGGCAAAAUAGCACCGUAACUUCGGGAGAAGGUGCGCCGGCGUAGAUUGUAGUCCCUUGCGGGCGAAGGUUGAACCGGUCGAAGAUACCAGCUGGCUGCAACUGUUUAUUAAAAACACAGCACUCUGCAAACACGAAAGUGGACGUAUAGGGUGUGAUGCCUGCCCGGUGCUGGAAGGUUAAUUGAUGGUGUAAUCGAAAGAGAAGCUCCUGAUCGAAGCCCCAGUAAACGGCGGCCGUAACUAUAACGGUCCUAAGGUAGCGAAAUUCCUUGUCGGGUAAGUUCCGACCUGCACGAAUGGCGUAAUGAUGGCCAGGCUGUCUCCACCCGAGACUCAGUGAAAUUGAAAUCGCCGUGAAGAUGCGGUGUACCCGCGGCUAGACGGAAAGACCCCGUGAACCUUUACUAUAGCUUGACACUGAACAUUGAAUUUUGAUGUGUAGGAUAGGUGGGAGACUUAGAAGUAGUCACGCCAGUGAUUAUGGAGUCGACCUUGAAAUACCACCCUUUAACGUUUGAUGUUCUAACGAAGAUUACGAAACGUGGUCUCGGACAGUGUCUGGUGGGUAGUUUGACUGGGGCGGUCUCCUCCCAAAGAGUAACGGAGGAGCACGAAGGUUAGCUAAUCCUGGUCGGACAUCAGGAGGUUAGUGCAAUGGCAUAAGCUAGCUUGACUGCGAGCGUGACGGCGCGAGCAGGUGCGAAAGCAGGUCAUAGUGAUCCGGUGGUUCUGAAUGGAAGGGCCAUCGCUCAACGGAUAAAAGGUACUCCGGGGAUAACAGGCUGAUACCGCCCAAGAGUUCAUAUCGACGGCGGUGUUUGGCACCUCGAUGUCGGCUCAUCACAUCCUGGGGCUGAAGUAGGUCCCAAGGGUAUGGCUGUUCGCCAUUUAAAGUGGUACGCGAGCUGGGUUUAGAACGUCGUGAGACAGUUCGGUCCCUAUCUGCCGUGGGCGCUGGAGAAUUGAGGGGGGCUGCUCCUAGUACGAGAGGACCGGAGUGGACGCAUCACUGGUGUUCGGGUUGUCAUGCCAAUGGCACUGCCCGGUAGCUAAAUGCGGAAGAGAUAAGUGCUGAAAGCAUCUAAGCACGAAACUUGCCCCGAGAUGAGUUCU
rnacentral:rRNA from 1 species